AAAGUUGAUGACAAUCUAAUUUCAUAUAUAAUUGCUGGUCUCGAUGAAACAUUCGAGUCGGUGGUGUCUUCUCUUGUUGGCAAGACGGAGCCGAUGACUGUGGGAGAGGCUUACUCCCAGCUACUCAGCUUUGAGC
rnacentral:snoRNA from 1 species